UUCGUAUCAUUGCGAAGCAGAAUUCGCCAAGCGUUGGAUUGUUCACCCACUAAUAGGGAA
rnacentral:ncRNA from 1 species